CAAGAAAGGAGCUUAAAAAAUAAAGUUAAUCGAAGCAAGCAAGAGAUGAAAUCAAUUACCGGUACAAAAUCAAUUGUGCAAAAGGCAUUUGAAAUGAAACAAGAAUCCAAAGCUGAUGAAUGGCCAAACGCUAUGGAAGUUUGGAAA